rnacentral:lncRNA from 1 species
UGCAAAAGUACUCCAGGUAGCAGGGGGACACCUCAGCUCCAGGUAGGGAAUUAUUGCUGAGGAAGCUUACAAACACACCAGAAUUACUACAGCGGGUCUUCAAUAGCUCCAGUUAUCCUCCCCAGGGGAGUCCUCAGGACAGGACAACAAGUCUAGGAGAAACCCCCUAAAAUCAUUUGCAUUCACAGCACAGGAAACACAAAGGCAUUAGGAUGCGCUCUGCAGUCCUUGGUGGCAGGUGGCAGAGUUAAUCACCUCUAAGCGAAUCCAAUGCUGUUGAUGGCAGUGAUUUAACCUCCCUUCAGCAUCACUCUGACCUCAUAUGUGAGGAUAAAAGACUGAUGCGAUGGUAGCAGUGUUGUGUUCUGUUUCUAGGCUGUUCAAAGAAAUCUGAGCCAGUGCAAGGCGUUUGUCAUUCCUCAAGGGCAGUGACUUAAAGACAACUGGUUACAUUACGGGCUCUUCGCUUUUUCCUACUUUUGUCUCUGGGAUGUGUUUUUCUCUCAUCUACAUCAUAAUCAAUAGUUCUUCCCCCCUUUGUGAUGGAUCAUAUCAGUCACAACUAUGCUAAAUUGUCACCUGACAUUUAGCUUCGAUGCUAUUCUCUUGGAUGGAACACAGUUUUCUCUCUUUUCAAAUGCCUGGAAUACUGAAAGGGCCUAGGCAACAAUGUUCAAUUAUGUGUCAAGUCACAGUUUUGCUGUAGGACCAAGAAAAGAGAACACAUCCACAGGUGGCUCCCAACUCACUACAGACCCAUAAAGAGCAAACUCAGUAAGUGUCAACCUGUCUCCUAACAAAAGCC